rnacentral:misc_RNA from 1 species
AAGUCGUAACAAGGUUUCCGUAGGUGAACCUGCGGAAGGAUCAUUAUUGAGUAUUGAGAGUUGUCUUGUGUCUGGCUUUUUCUAGCUAGACCGGCACUCUUCUUCUCUCUACCCUUUAUUAUUUCUUAACCAGUUGCUUUGGCAGUUGUCGGUUGAUGGCUGUCAAGGGACCUUAUGAAACCCUUUUGUAAUCUAAUAGUAGAUAAUUCUUAAUGUCUGAUUUUUAAUUACUUAAUAGUAUUUUAAAACUUUCAACAACGGAUCUCUUGGUUCUG